AUGCCUUCCAAGAUAAUUUUGGACAAGGAUCCAGUUUUCACAAGUCUCUUCUGGCAAGAACUGUUUCGCUUGUCAGAUACGAUUCUGAAUAUGAGCUCUGCACGACACCCAGAGACAGAUGGGCAAACCGAGCGUCUCAAUCAGUGCCUGGAGGCCUUUCUUCGAUGUGCUAUCCACGACACACCAACCAAGUGGGCUGGUUGGUUAACGGCGGCAGAGCACUGGUAUAACACGUCAUACCAUACUGUAGCAGGGCGCACCCCUUUUGAAGCCUUGUAUGGAUAUCUUCCUCGCCCCUUUGGCCUGACAGCACCUGCGUCCAACACUGAGUUGCAAGAGAUGGUUUCAAAUAGAGAAGCAAUGACUGAAAUGCUUCGUCAAUGUCUGCAGAAAGCACAAGAUCGCAUGACACGUCAAGCAAACAAGCACAGAAGCGAGCGACAGUUUGCUGUGGGCGACCAAGUGUAUCUGAAGCAUUCUUACACAGCAAGCUUAUUCAGCGUGGGAACAAGCUCAAACCCCAGUGCAAGGUACGUUGGCACAACUGGCCGGAUACUCAAGACACCUGGGAAGAUGCAUUCGCAUUACAUGCUAGUUUUCCUGCUCUGGCGGCUUGGGGUCAAGCCGCGCCUGAAGGGGUGGGGAGUGUUAUGUGGUGGCCCAGCCCAGGCAGACGGCCCAAGGCCUCAAGGCGCAACCACCAGCUGGCCCGAGACUGGCAGAGGAACAAGUCGUCGUGAAGGGGAUAAAAGAGGGGAGGCGCUGGAGGGAGGACAGAGAAGAAGAUGA
rnacentral:rRNA from 1 species